UUUAUUUGAUUAUGUGAUUUAUUAAGUGGCUUAUGUUGUUAUUUAAUAGAUUAAGAUUUGAAAAUAGAAAUAAGAUUGAGUUGAGAGUUUGUUAUGAGAUUUUAGAGAGUUUUGGGGGAGAAAGAUAAAUAAGAUAAAAUAGAAAAAGGGUUAUAAAUAGGAGAAACCUAGUUUAGAAAAAACAUAACGUAGGAUCAAUUUUGGAGAAAAUGGAGAAAAAGCCGAGAGGAGGGAGAAGACCUAGGAGUGCUGCGAUUUUCAUCUAUAAGGUAAGGGUGGGACUAACAUUCAAUAAUCUUAAGUCAUCGAUUCUGAAAAUUGGAUUUAACAUGUUGUAGGUUUUAGUUUUUGAGAAUUUGGGAAUUAGGGUUAAAAGUGAUUAUUUGAUGAUUUUCUAAAAUAAUGUUUUGGGUCAAGUUUUAUAUGGUUUUGAGUCUCUUUUGAUGUAUAUAAAUGUUUAGACAAACUUUUGGGAUCAAAUUUGGGCAUAGGGAAGUUAAAAUUGGGAUUUUGGGGUGAAAAGUGUGUUUUUUCCCGAGUUGCUCUCUGACAGCAUGUCCUGUUUCAUGUUCUUGCGUCUUUUUCACACGUUUCUGUUUUGAAUUAGCCUUUGGUGUAAACAUGAAAGUUGUAGAUACUUGUGUUAGCCUUCCAGUGGCGUCGGUUUGACUUGAAAAUGAAUUUUGGUUUAUGAGUUAAGGUCAAAUUACUGCACGUAGGUCACAGUGAAUUUUUAUGAAUUUCAGCACAACUUUGUCCGAAUAUGAAAUGAAAACCGGUAUUGAUUGGUACAGAAUUGGUCUUAGGUGUAAACACGAAAGUUGUAGGUAUAAAUGUUAGCUUUCUAAUGCCGUUGGUUUGACUUCAAAAGGAUUUAUAGAAUUUGAGUUAUGGUCAAAUUACUAAACGUAGGUCACAGUGAAUAAUUGAUUAUGAUUGAUGAAUUAGUAUAUGUAUGUAUAUGUUUGUGAAUACGAUAUUGUCCAUGAUUGAUGAAGUGUUAUAUGUAUAUAUGAUGUUUUAAGAUGUUGAUUAUUAUUUGAUGUUGUUAUAUUGUGAUAUAAUUGUAUAUGCAUUACUUGAAUUAUAUGUGAAUAAUUGAGACGUUGUUGACUUGCAUUUGAUAUUAUUAUGUCAUGCUGUUUUUGUAUACUGUUGUGUUGCUGUUGUUAUUUAACUAAGCUGCAUGAGUUGGUCUAAGUUGAUUAAGAUGAUGAAGUUCCAAAUUAUUGGAUUAUAUAAGAGGUUGUCGAUUUAAGAUAUUACGAGGUCGAGUCCAUGCAUUAGCAUUUCAUUGUUGGGGGCUUGAUGCCCUGGAGCCUUUGCUCAAUUAAGUUGAGGGCUUGAUGCCCUAGGAGCCUUUUUACGCUCAAAUAAAGUUGAGGGCUUGAUGCCCUAGGAGCCUAUUUACGCUCAAAGAUUGGUACCACAUGCAUGAUUAGAAGAUUAAGUUGCAUAGUCAAGAGGUUAAGUUGUCAAGUUGUCAAGUUAUCAAGUUGUCGAGUUGUUAAAUCAUGAAAUUGUUUAAAGCUGUGAUUCUUUAUAUGAACUAUUAAAGAAGUGAAUUAUGAUAUAUUAUUAUCUAUGAUGAAUAUUAUGAUGAUUACAUGAUGUUGUCUAUGAGUUGUUAAAUAUGAUUGAUGAUGCUUAUGUUGUUAAAUGUAAUUGAUGAAUUAUAUGCUUAAUAUUAUUAUUUGUGAAAUCUCACCCCUUCUGUUUGCCCACCAUGGGUAACUAACAGGUAACCAAGAAUAGUUGAUGUCGUGUGAGCUUUCCUUCUCGUGUGUCUUAGGUGCUCUGAUACGUAACGG
rnacentral:lncRNA from 1 species